UAAAGAAGAAAUGUUUAAAUCGGUUUCAGUAAUAAAACUGAAGGAGUCGUUUCAAGCAUAAACCGGCUUACAUGUUCCACGAUCAACUCACGUAGGUGUAGUAGAUACGUAUAACAAGUAUAUGUAGUAUAAAACGAAGUAUAAGAAUAAGAAAUAAGCAGCACACUCUGGGAUCUACUUUACGAAGCCGGUUUUCAAACCUUAUUCUCGUCUUCAUUGACCGACUCAACCAGAAUCAGUCUAACAAAGAUCGCAGUUCGUGUUGAUACGUACAUAUAUAUAUAUAUAAUAUAUACAGUGAUCAUAUGUGAUCAUAUGUUUAUUGAUUUCAUCCACGUGAUUUUAUUUUUAUAUUAAACGUAGAAAAAUUACAAAAUCGUGAAAUAAUAGUUAACAAUGUGUAAUUCAACAUUAUUUGUGAUAUUUUUUUUCCUGUUGAAUAUUAAAUUAAUUAAAUAACAUUGUGAAUUCAUGAAUCCAGUGAAUUUCCUACGAAACGUUUAAAAUACUUCUUCUUAUUAUUAUUAUUGUUUAUUAUUAUUAUAUGAAUCAAGUGAAUUUUCUACGAAACAUUUAAAUCCUUAUUAUUAUUGUUAUACCUUUAAGUUAUUUAAAUAAUACGUGAACAAAUAUACGAAGAAAAGAUAUGUUAAUUGUUUGACAAAUAACAAAACGAAGAUUAAACAGAGAAAUGGAUAAGAGUUACCACUUAUGUUAUUUAUAACAAGAUUAAUUUAAAUAAUUAAUUGGACAUGUCAGACGUUAUUUGGAUAAAAAUUAGUCGAGUUUUCAGUUGACAUGGAACGUCUCUAGACUACUCGAAGACGAGCCUUCAGAGAGGAACGAUAGGAGACCAAAUUUUUUUUUUUACCAUUCAAAAGAAUUUUUGAAGAUUCAUCUUAAUUAUCAUGACUCGUUUCGAAACUGACAAAGGUUGGGCUUGGAUGAUAGUUUUAGGUGCUACUAUU